UGGGGAAUAUUGGACAAUGGGCGCAAGCCUGAUCCAGCCAUGCCGCGUGAGUGAUGAAGGCCCUAGGGUUGUAAAGCUCUUUCACCGGUGAAGAUAAUGACGGUAACCGGAGAAGAAGCCCCGGCUAACUUCGUGCCAGCAGCCGCGGUAAUACGAAGGGGGCUAGCGUUGUUCGGAUUUACUGGGCGUAAAGCGCGCGUAGGCGGACUUUUAAGUCCGGGGUGAAAUCCCGGGGCUCAACCCCGGAACUGCCUUUGAUACUGGAAGUCUUGAGUAUGGUAGAGGUGGGUGGAAUUCCGAGUGUAGAAGGGAAAUUCGUAGAUAUUCGGAGGAACACCAGUGGCGAAAGCGGCUCACUGGACCAUUACUGACGCUGAGGUGCGAAAGAGUGGGGAGCAAACAGG
rnacentral:rRNA from 1 species